rnacentral:rRNA from 1 species
GAUGAACGCUGGCGGCGUGCCUAAUACAUGCAAGUAGAACGCUGAAGGAAGGAGCUUGCUCUUUCCGGAUGAGUUGCGAACGGGUGAGUAACGCGUAGGUAACCUGCCUGGUAGCGGGGGAUAACUAUUGGAAACGAUAGCUAAUACCGCAUAACAGUAGAUGUUGCAUGAUAUCUACUUAAAAGGUGCAAUUGCACCACUACCAGAUGGACCUGCGUUGUAUUAGCUAGUUGGUGAGGUAACGGCUCACCAAGGCGACGAUACAUAGCCGACCUGAGAGGGUGAGCGGCCACACUGGGACUGAGACACGGCCCAGACUCCUACGGGAGGCAGCAGUAGGGAAUCUUCGGCAAUAGACGGAAGUCUGACCGAGCAACGCCGCGUGAGUGAAGAAGGUUUUCGGAUCGUAAAGCUCGGUUGUAAGAGAAGAACGAGUGUGAGAGUGGAAAGUUCACACUGUGACGGUAUCUUACCAGAAAGGGACGGCUAACUACGUG